rnacentral:misc_RNA from 1 species
GAAAUGCGAUACUUGGUGUGAAUUGCAGAAUCCCGUGAACCAUCGAGUCUUUGAACGCAAGUUGCGCCCGAGACCUUUGGUCGAGGGCACGUCUGCCUGGGCGUCACGCAUCGCAACACCCCACAACCAUUCUCGUGGUUGUCGGGGGGAUGAUGGUUUCCCGUGCCUCACCGGGCGCGGUUGGCCUAAAAUCGGAGCCUAAGGCAUGGAGUUGCCGCGGCAAUAGGUGGAGAACAAGGCCUCGGCCGUGGAAUCAACCAGUCGCGCAACUCGUUGACGGAAGUGCUCGAAGGACCCUUUGAUGUCGCCUUGUUGCGGCACAAUCGUUGCGACCCCAGGUCAGGCGGGGCUACCCGCUGAAUUUAA